rnacentral:lncRNA from 1 species
UCGGAUUAUACAAAUAUUCAGUACGACGGUCAAUACAAUUUCAUUCUAAUCCAAUGGCUUACACGACUGCGGCGCAAAUAGCACAUUAACAUACGGAUAAUCGAAUAUUUAAUUAGAUGUCACUUUGGGUGCGCCCACCUAAUGUAGAGGGUCCAUGCCAAAAAAUUUGUCUUCAUCUGAGGUGAUUGUGUAGCAUGUGAUCGAUUAAUUUUCAACCAUCAAGAUCGCAGUAGGUUGGAUCGCACCUGAUCCUACCUCUAUUUAAUUAAUGAAAAAUACAAUCAUUUAAAGAACAAGAUAAAUAAUUUUUUCGAGUCUACAGAAAACGCUGAAAUUGAGACAGCAACUCGUCGAUUUUGUCCUAUGGAAAUCGUUGGAAAUUAAGAAUCUGGACCUGAAAUGCAAACUCAGAAUAUCGCUGGAACACGAACUCGGAAGAUCGGGAAAUCAAGACUUGUUGGAAAUCGCUGGAACGUGAACACGUUUUAAUCUUGAAGUCAUCAGAAACUUUCGAAUCGCCAAGAAAUUCGCUAGAAAUACAGACAAAACAAAUAGCCAAAAAAAAGCAGAAGUCCGUGAGAAAAGAGACUCAAUUCCGAAAACAAGAAGAUCUAAAUUGCGAUCUUGAGAAGCACAACUGAUACGUUACAACUCAAAGUUAACUAACGAUUGUGUCCAAAUGUAAAAUACUCAAUGAAAUAAAUAAUACAAAAAAAAGUAUGGAUAUAACGUAUUUACAGAGUCUUAUUAUUACAAGUCCAACAUUCAAUAUAGAUUCG